rnacentral:rRNA from 1 species
AUUGAACGCUGGCGGCAUGCUUUACACAUGCCAGUCGAACGGUAACAGGCCUUCGGGUGCUGACGAGUGUCGAACGGGUGAGUAAUGCAUCGGAACGUACCCAGAGGUGGGGGAUAACGCAGCGAAAGCUGUGCUAAUACCGCAUGUGAUCUGAGGAUGAAAGCGGGGGACCGAGCAGCAAUGUUUGGCCUCGCGCCUUUGGAGCGGCCGAUGUCGGAUUAGCUAGUUGGUGGGGUAAAGGCCUACCAAGGCGACGAUCCGUAGCUGGUCUGAGAGGACGACCAGCCACUCUGGGACUGAGACACGGCCCAGACUCCUACGGGAGGCAGCAGUGGGGAAUUUUGGACAAUGGGCGCAAGCCUGAUCCAGCAAUGCCGCGUGCGGGAAGAAGGCCUUCGGGUUGUAAACCGCUUUUGGCAGGAACGAAACGGUGUCCGCUAAUACCGGGCGCUAAUGACGGUACCUGCAGAAUAAGCACCGGCUAACUACGUG